UACGGAGGGUGCAAGCGUUGUCCGGAUUUAUUGGGUUUAAAGGGUGCGUAGGUGGCCUUGUAAGUCCGUGGUGAAAGCCUCUCGCUUAACGAGAGAACUGCCAUGGAUACUGCAGGGCUUGAGUCCAGACGAGGUUGGCGGAAUGGAUGGUGUAGCGGUGAAAUGCAUAGAUACCAUCCAGAACCCCGAUUGCGUAGGCAGCUGACUAGGCUGGUACUGACACUGAGGCACGAAAGCGUGGGGAGCGAACAGG
rnacentral:rRNA from 1 species